UUAAAUUGAAGAGUUUGAUCAUGGCUCAGAUUGAACGCUGGCGGCAGGCCUAACACAUGCAAGUCGAACGGUAACAGGAAGCAGCUUGCUGCUUUGCUGACGAGUGGCGGACGGGUGAGUAAUGUCUGGGAAAC
rnacentral:rRNA from 7 species